AAAUUACGGGCCGAAAAUGACCACUUAUUUACAGGGGCCAAAAACUCGGCCACUGUGGCUUGGAGGAGAAUUCUGGAGAAAAUGGACCUGCUAGGGAAGGUCACUCCCUUGCAGGCCAAAAGAAAAUGGGACAACUUAAAAAAAAAAAUACAAAGAUUGCAAGUGUCCUGGGACAGGUGAGGGGGUGAGCGGGAAAUCCACUGCUGCAACUUGGCCCUGGUUUGUCCACAU